ACAAUGGAGAGUUUGAUCCUGGCUCAGGAUGAACGCUAGCGGCAGGCUUAACACAUGCAAGUCGAGGGGCAUCAUGACUAGUAAUAGUUGAUGGCGACCGGCGGACGGGUGCGUAACACGUAUGCAACCUACCAAUAACUACGGGAUAGUCGGGAGAAAUUCCGCAUAAUACCAUAUAAUAUCAGUCGAGGGCAUCUAAGGUUGAUCAAAGAUUUAUCGGUUAUUGAUGGGCAUGCGUUCCAUUAGAUAGUUGGCGAGGUAACGGCUCCCCAAGUCGACGAUGGAUAGGGGUUCUGAGAGGAUUUCCCCCCACACUGGUACUGAGACACGGACCAGACUCCUACGGGAGGCAGCAGUGAGGAAUAUUGGGCAAUGGACGCGAGUCUGACCCAGCCAUGCCGCGUGCAGGAAGACGGCCUUAUGGGUUGUAAACUGCUUUUAUAAGGGAGAAAAAGGGGGUUUGCGAACCUCGAAUUGCUUUUACCUUAUGAAUAAGUAUCGGCUAACUCCGUGCCAGCAGCCGCGGUAAUACGGAGGAUGCGAGCGUUAUCCGGAUUUAUUGGGUUUAAAGGGUGCGCAGGCUGUGAUAUAAGUCAGCGGUGAAAAGCAUCGGCUCAACCGAUGUCUUGCCGUUGAUACUGUAUUACUUGAGUAUAUAUGGCGUAGGCGGAAUGUAGCAUGUAGCGGUGAAAUGCAUAGAUAUGCUACAGAACAUCGAUCGCGAAGGCAGCUUACGAAUAUAUUACUGACGCUCAUGCACGAAAGCGUGGGGAUCAAACAGGAUUAGAUACCCUGGUAGUCCACGCUGUAAACGAUGAUAACUGGCUUUUUGGGAAAUUAAUUUUUGAGAGGCUGAGAGAAAUCAAUAAGUUAUCCACCUGGGGAGUACGUCGGCAACGAUGAAACUCAAAGGAAUUGACGGGGGCCCGCACAAGCGGAGGAGCAUGUGGUUUAAUUCGAUGAUACGCGAGGAACCUUACCCGGGCUUAAAUGGGAGAUGACUGAAUAGGAAACUAUUUUUUCGUAAGACAUCUUUCAAGGUGCUGCAUGGUUGUCGUCAGCUCGUGCCGUGAGGUGUCGGGUUAAGUCCCAUAACGAGCGCAACCCACAUAUUUAGUUACCAGCAUGUAGUGGUGGGGACUCUAAAUAGACUGCCUACGCAAGUAGAGAGGAAGGUGUGGAUGACGUCAAAUCAGCACGGCCCUUACGUCCGGGGCUACACACGUGCUACAAUGGUCGAGACAGAGGGCAGCGAGCUGGUGACAGUAAGCGAAUCUCAGAAACUCGAUCUCAGUCCGGAUCGGAGUCUGCAACUCGACUCCGUGAAGUUGGAUUCGCUAGUAAUCGCGCAUCAGCCAUGGCGCGGUGAAUACGUUCCCGGGCCUUGUACACACCGCCCGUCAAGCCAUGGAAGCUGGUGGUACCUGAAGUACGUUACCGCGAGGAUCGUCCUAGGGUAAAACUGGUGACUGGGGCUAAGUCGUAACAAGGUAGCCGUACCGGAAGGUGUGGCUGGAAUACCUCCUUU
rnacentral:rRNA from 2 species